rfam:Schistosoma mansoni strain Puerto Rico chromosome 6, complete genome
AGAUUUCUGAAUUCGUGCUGAGAUUUUGUGAGACACCAAUUCACAAAAGUUUAUGAAACUUUCAAGAUCAGUGAAUCG